AACGUAGGAGGCAAGCGUUAUCCGGAUUUACUGGGCGUAAAGCGCGUGCAGGCGGUUCGGCAAGUCGGACGUGAAAGCUCCCGGCUCAACUGGGAGAGGCCGUUCGAGACUACCAGACUAGAGGGCAGUAGAGGGAGGUGGAAUUCCGGGUGUAGCGGUGAAAUGCGUAGAUAUCCGGAGGAACACCAGUGGCGAAAGCGGCCUCCUGGACUGCCCCUGACGCUCAGACGCGAAAGCUAGGGGAGCGAACGGG
rnacentral:rRNA from 1 species